UGAACGCUGGCGGCAGGCCUAACACAUGCAAGUCGAACGGCAGCACAGAAGAGCUUGCUCUUUGGGUGGCGAGUGGCGGACGGGUGAGUAAUGUCUGGGAAACUGCCCGAUGGAGGGGGAUAACUACUGGAAACGGUAGCUAAUACCGCAUAACGUCGCGAGACCAAAGUGGGGGACCUUCGGGCCUCACACCAUCGGAUGUGCCCAGAUGGGAUUAGCUAGUAGGUGGGGUAAUGGCUCACCUAGGCGACGAUCCCUAGCUGGUCUGAGAGGAUGACCAGCCACACUGGAACUGAGACACGGUCCAGACUCCUACGGGAGGCAGCAGUGGGGAAUAUUGCACAAUGGGCGCAAGCCUGAUGCAGCCAUGCCGCGUGUAUGAAGAAGGCCUUCGGGUUGUAAAGUACUUUCAGCGGGGAGGAAGGCGGUGAGGUUAAUAACCUUGCCGAUUGACGUUACCCGCAGAAGAAGCACCGGCUAACUCCGUGCCAGCAGCCGCGGUAAUGCGGAGGGUGCAAGCGUUAAUCGGAAUUACUGGGCGUAAAGCGCACGCAGGCGGUCUGUUAAGUCAGAUGUGAAAUCCCCGGGCUUAACCUGGGAACUGCAUUUGAAACUGGCAGGCUUGAGUCUCGUAGAGGGGGGUAGAAUUUCCAGGUGUAGCGGUGAAAUGCGUAGAGAUCUGGAGGAAUACCGGUGGCGAAAGGCGGCCCCCUGGACGAAGACUGACGCUCAGGUGCGAAAGCGUGGGGAGCAAACAGGAUUAGAUACCCUGGUAGUCCACGCCGUAAACGAUGUCGACUUGGAGGUUGUGCCCUUGAGGCGUGGCUUCCGGAGCUAACGCGUUAAGUCGACCGCCUGGGGAGUACGGCCGCAAGGUUAAAACUCAAAUGAAUUGACGGGGGCCCGCACAAGCGGUGGAGCAUGUGGUUUAAUUCGAUGCAACGCGAAGAACCUUACCUGGCCUUGACAUCCAGAGAACUUAGCAGAGAUGCUUUGGUGCCUUCGGGAACUCUGAGACAGGUGCUGCAUGGCUGUCGUCAGCUCGUGUUGUGAAAUGUUGGGUUAAGUCCCGCAACGAGCGCAACCCUUAUCCUUUGUUGCCAGCGGUUCGGCCGGGAACUCAAAGGAGACUGCCGGUGAUAAACCGGAGGAAGGUGGGGAUGACGUCAAGUCAUCAUGGCCCUUACGGCCAGGGCUACACACGUGCUACAAUGGCGCAUACAAAGAGAAGCGACCUCGCGAGAGCAAGCGGACCUCAUAAAGUGCGUCGUAGUCCGGAUUGGAGUCUGCAACUCGACUCCAUGAAGUCGGAAUCGCUAGUAAUCGUAGAUCAGAAUGCUACGGUGAAUACGUUCCCGGGCCUUGUACUCACCGCC
rnacentral:rRNA from 1 species